rnacentral:sRNA from 1 species
GUGUGUAAGAUGUGCAAUGUUCCUGCAUGGGGGUUUUGUAGACUUUCAUAGCCAAAGAAACCGGCUUCGGCUUCUUUAAAAUCCCCGACGACUCACCUGAUUAACCUGCUGCAGUUCUGACCCUGCCAAGAGCUGACAAUUUACUGGUUCAUCAAUGAAACAAUAUUAAAUUAUGAAGAUGUAAGGAAAAAAUCCUACGCUAACACUGUCGCAGUUUGAAAGCUUUAAAAAGUUGAAGUCUAUUGGAAACCUUCUUAUAAGAAACCUUCCUAGUCAGAUAAUUCAACUUUCUUCUUUUCUUCAUUCAUGAAAAUGCAGAUCCACUGAGAAAGGGAAUAAGGUAAAAGUAUCAUUUUCUUUUGGGAGUCAGGUUUUUCUGUCAGAAGAAUAAAGGCCUUUCUUUCCAGGUCAAUUCCUGUUGUGCUGAAGGCUGGAAAUCAUCAUGCCCUUUGGGUGUGGACCCCAGCUUUGGGCCUCUGUGAUGACGGUAGAAUCUGGAAGUCAGAAGUCCAUAUCCUAGAUCAGCUGCUUUGCUGGGCUGACCUUUUUCAGUGUGAUACUGCAUCCCAAACUCCUGACCUCUCCAGAGAACUCGGGGUGUUCUCCCAAGAUGCUGGGCCUCUGGGAAGCAUCUCCUUAGGUGAACAGCCCCAGGAUGCCUCCUUCUUAAGUCGAUUUAAGUUACUCCACCCUAUCAACCCCCAAGUGUGAAAGAUCGCAGUUAUUCCUCAGGGAAGCACGGAGUUGUUCCUAACUCUACUUUGCCUUCUUAGAACACAUUUGCUUCUGGUUGAAAUGAAAAUUUUCAGUAAAGUGUUUUUUUUUUCUGUAUUUUUUUUUUUAUUUCCUUAAACCUCUGUUUUGGGUGAAGCACUACCGCAGAAGUCUAGUGUCAUACAAAAGUACAAUUGGAAUCUUUGAAUGUAACCCUCAUCCAAUAGCAGACAUUUUAAAAAUCACUUUUAUAAAUAUUUUAAAUGUGUUCCAAACAGCACUGACCUCCUCAAUAGGUAAUUUUGUUAAAGGACUAGGCUUUGGCUGUUUUUUUUUUUUUUUUUCUGACUUGUUGAUUUAGAGACCAGCUGCCUCCUAGGAAAUUGUGAUCAAAAACUAUAAAAGCAGACCGUAAAUAAGUCAAAUGCAUGAGUAGGAAUUGGGAAACUUGAUUUGUCCUGUGAUUCAAUCUGGGCUAAAUAUUGGUGCCACUUGAAAUUACUAUCCUUAGGGAAGUCAUUAACAAUCCCCCAAAUGUUUGUAUGUGCCUGUAUGCAAGUGUAUGUUGUAUAUUUACAAUUUCAUCCCAUGUUCUGUCUCUCCAGUUUUAUGAUUCUAGAUUUGGUGACCUCUGACUCCUCCUUCUCUAUUCCUAACACUGUGUAACUUAGAGAGGAUCAGGUAAGCUAGGAUGUCCCAAAUGCAAUUUCAUUACAUUAAAGAGAAAUACACUAUCUAAGAAGUAGAAAAAAUGGGAUGAGUGUGAUAAAAUGAUUUAGUGCAAGAUGGCGGAUGCAGUAGAGACAAGGAGCACAGAGGAGGAGCUUCUUGUUCAGCAGGGAGAGCAGAAGUGUGCCCAGGAAAGUUCUGCAAAUAAGUACUGUCUAUCCCAGGCUUAAAAGGCAAAUUAGAAUUAGCCAGAUGAAAGUGAGCAGGUAGGACAAAAAGUGUUGCAGAGGGAAUAGCAAAGAACAAAGCCCAUGACUCCUGAGAAAGAAAAACUAUUUUUAUUUAUUUUAAACCCACAAUAAUAACUAUUUCUCAAAAGAGUAUAGGAGAAGAAUAAUUGAAAUAUGGCACAAAGUGGCAAUAAAAGGUUUGACUAAUUGGACUAUACCCUCGCCCUAUUCUUAACUUAUUCACUGGUUUGAUAUUUAAUUGCUCUCUAGGAGGAUAUUGACUGUCUCUACACCAGUGACUUCUGCAACUAGGUAGUAUGAGAUCUACUUGAAAACCGUGGAAUUUUCAGUAGGAACAUAGUAAAAUUUUGAAGGAAAGAAAUUCUGAGAAUAAAAUAAAAUUUUAUUCACUUGAAUUCUAUUUCAUUGUGAGCUGAAGGAAAAAAGAAAGCUUUUCAAAAAAUGCUAUAAUUUCUCUAUUUUCUAAAUUGGCCCUUUAUUCGAUAUUGUCCUAUUCUCAUAUAUAUCAGUGAUUCUAAAAGUGUGGUCCUGGGACCAGCACCAUUAUCAUUCACAGAGAGCCUGUUAGAAAUGCAAAUCCUUAAGCCCCAUCCUAGGCCUACUGAAUCAGAAACUCUGGGCAUUGGACCCAACAAUCUAUGUUUUUACACUCCCUCCAGGCAAUUCUGAUGGGUAUCAAAGUUUAAGAAUCACUGGUCUCUACUUUUCAUGUAUUUUGUACAAAACAGUUUAUAUUAUCUUCUUAUUCAUUACAUUAAUUUUGUACAUAUAUUUUCUUUCAAUAACUAACUUUUAAAUUCCUUAUGGACAAUAAUCCUAUCUUUGUACCAGCUCUAUGAGAUAUAACUGAAAUACAAUAAACUGCACAUUACAGUAUAUAAUUGGAUCCAUUUUGACAUACAUAUACAUCCAUGAAACCAAUACCUUAAUCAACAUAAUAAACAGGGAUCUCACCCCAAAAGUUUUCUUUUGCCACCUUAUAAUCCUUUUUUUCUGACCCCUUUACUGACCUACUUCCCCCAUCUCAAGGCUAAUCACUUAUCUGCUUUUUGCCUCUAUGGAUAAGUCUUCAUUUUGUAGAGUUUCAUGUAAGUGGAAUCCUACAGUAUAUAUUCUUUCUUAUCUGGUUUGUCUCAAUCAGUAUAAUUAUUUUAACAUAUAUCCAUGUUGUUGAAUCAGUAGUUAGUUCCUUUUUAUUACUGAGGUACCAUCAAAUUGUAUAAGCUACAACGUGUUUAUUCAGUUACUGUCAGUGGAUUUUUGUGUUAUUUUAGCCUGGGCUUUUGGAGGGAUCACGAGGUCAUGAGUUCGAGGCCAGCCUGGCCAACAUGGUGAAACCCCAUCUCUACUAAAAAUACAAAAAUUAGCUGGGCGUGGUGGCACGCACCUGUAAUCCCAGCUACUCAGGAGGUUGAAGCAGGAGAAUCACUUGAACCCAAGAGAUGGAGGUUGUAGUGAGCCAAGAUCAUGCCACUGUACUCCAGCCAGGGCAACAGAGCAAGAUUCUGCCUUAAAAAAAAAAUAAAUAAAUAAA